UCGAACGAGAAAGGGGAGCAAUCCCUGAGUACAGUGGCGUACGGGUGAGUAACACGUGGAUGAUCUGCCCUUUAGUGGGGAAUAACUAUGGGAAACCGUAGCUAAUACCGCAUAAGCUCGAGAGAGGAAAGCCAGCUUUGUGAAAACAGAGCCGGCGCUGAAGGAGGAGUCCGCGGCCGAUUAGCUAGUUGGCAGGGUAAAAGCCUACCAAGGCAUAGAUCGGUAGCCGGCCUGAGAGGGCACACGGCCACACUGGCACUGAAACACGGGCCAGACUCCUACGGGAGGCAGCAGUGGGGAAUCUUGCACAAUGGGGGAAACCCUGAUGCAGCGACGCCGCGUGAGCGAUGAAGCCCUUCGGGGUGUAAAGCUCUUUCGGCAGGGAAGAUGAUGACGGUACCUGCAGAAGCAGCUGCGGCUAACUACGUGCCAGCAGCCGCGGUAAUACGUAGGCAGCGAGCGUUGUUCGGAGUUACUGGGCGUAAAGGGUGUGUAGGCGGUUGUUUAAGUUUGGUGUGAAAUCUCCCGGCUCAACUGGGAGGGUGCGCCGAAUACUGAAUGACUAGAGUGCGGGAGAGGAAAGUGGAAUUCCUGGUGUAGCGGUGAAAUGCGUAGAUAUCAGGAGGAACACCGGUGGUGUAGACGGCUUUCUGGACCGUAACUGACGCUGAGACACGAAAGCGUGGGUGGCAAACAGGAUUAGAUACCCUGGUAGUCCACGCCCUAAACGAUGCAUAUUUGGUGUGGGCAGUUCAUUCUGUCCGUGCCGGAGCUAACGCGUUAAAUAUGCCGCCUG
rnacentral:rRNA from 1 species